rnacentral:rRNA from 1 species
GCAGUCGAGGGGUAUUGUUCUUCGGAAUGAGAGACCGGCGCACGGGUGCGUAACGCGUAUGCAAUCUACCUUUUACAGAGGGAUAGCCCAGAGAAAUUUGGAUUAAUACCUCAUAGUAUUAUGACUCGGCAUCGAGAUAUAAUUAAAGUCACAACGGUAAAAGAUGAGCAUGCGUCCCAUUAGCUAGUUGGUAAGGUAACGGCUUACCAAGGCUACGAUGGGUAGGGGUCCUGAGAGGGAGAUCCCCCACACUGGUACUGAGACACGGACCAGACUCCUACGGGAGGCAGCAGUGAGGAAUAUUGGACAAUGGGCGCAAGCCUGAUCCAGCCAUGCCGCGUGCAGGAUGACGGUCCUAUGGAUUGUAAACUGCUUUUGCACAGGAAGAAACAACAUUACGUGUAAUGUCUUGACGGUACUGUGAGAAUAAGGAUCGGCUAACUCCGUGCCAGCAGCCGCGGUAAUACGGAGGAUCCAAGCGUUAUCCGGAAUCAUUGGGUUUAAAGGGUCCGUAGGCGGUUUAGUAAGUCAGUGGUGAAAGCCCAUCGCUCAACGGUGGAACGGCCAUUGAUACUGCUAGACUUGAAUUAUUAGGAAGUAACUAGAAUAUGUAGUGUAGCGGUGAAAUGCUUAGAGAUUACAUGGAAUACCAAUUGCGAAGGCAGGUUACUACUAAUGGAUUGACGCUGAUGGACGAAAGCGUGGGUAGCGAACAGGAUUAGAUACCCUGGCAGUCCACGCCGUAAACGAUGGAUACUAGCUGUUGGGAGCAAUUUCAGUGGCUAAGCGAAAGUGAUAAGUAUCCCACCUGGGGAGUACGUUCGCAAGAAUGAAACUCAAAGGAAUUGACGGGGGCCCGCACAAGCGGUGGAGCAUGUGGUUUAAUUCGAUG